rnacentral:rRNA from 1 species
AGUGAACGCUGGCGGUAGGCCUAACACAUGCAAGUCGAACGGCAGCACAGUAAGAGCUUGCUCUUACGGGUGGCGAGUGGCGGACGGGUGAGGAAUACAUCGGAAUCUACUUUUUCGUGGGGGAUAACGUAGGGAAACUUACGCUAAUACCGCAUACGACCUACGGGUGAAAGCAGGGGAUCUUCGGACCUUGCGCGAUUGAAUGAGCCGAUGUCGGAUUAGCUAGUUGGCGGGGUAAGGGCCCACCAAGGCGACGAUCCGUAGCUGGUCUGAGAGGAUGAUCAGCCACACUGGAACUGAGACACGGUCCAGACUCCUACGGGAGGCAGCAGUGGGGAAUAUUGGACAAUGGGCGCAAGCCUGAUCCAGCCAUACCGCGUGAGUGAAGAAGGCCUUCGGGUUGUAAAGCCCUUUUGUUGGGAAAGAAAAGCAGCAGGUUAAUACCCCGCUGUUCUGACGGUACCCAAAGAAUAAGCACCGGCUAACUUCGUG